AAGGUCGCUUCAGCACCACUUUUACUAAAAUUGGAACAAAACAAAGAUUAGCAUGGCCCCUGGAGCAAGGAUGACACCUAAAUUCCUGAAGUGUUCCAUAUUUUU
rnacentral:snRNA from 1 species